CCUGUCAUGUUCCAGGGAAAAAUGACUUCUACACUCUUAAAUCAGGAAAACUGUACAAGUCUCAUUCAUUAGUGACAACGUCGAUUUUUCCUUAACGUUUCUAUUUCUGGAAUGCUCGUAUUCUCAUUAGGGCAUUUCUGCAUUCAGAUUAACUAAGAAAAUAAACUAUGUUGGAGGAACACUUAUGCUGGGGGGAAAAAUCUUGUACUACAUCAAACGAGUUUCCUACUUGAGAAACUCAACUAGCAUCCAGGUUACUCCUGAACUAUUUACUAAGACCAAGGUUAUUUUCAGGUUUUCUUCAUCUCUUGCAGAACUACCUGUUCUCAUUACUGUUUACUCAAACGCUUAACAAGGUAACUAUUAGCAUAUCUGGCAGGAAGACAUGCCUCAUUUAAUAUUAACUCACCAUGUGACAGCCCCCUUCCUCUCUUCUCAAACAUGUGAGGAUAAAAAGAAAAGUAGAGUUGUUUGCAAUCUGAUUUGCGCUGGGUUUUGGAACCAGCAAUUGGCCACAGGCACACACACCCCCAAUCAGAGGCGCGCACCCCGCUCGCUCCCGGAACUGUCAUGCGGGCUGACAGCUGGCACACCCUCCUGUCGCCCUCCACCCGCCUGCAGAAAGCCCACUCCCUACAGUCACCUUGACAUUGCUCACCUGCCUGGGCCUCAGCCCAUGACCAAGGAAACUUUUGCCCUCCCUCCCCAGGAGCUCACUUACAGGCCAUCUUCAAAGGUACUGCCUACCUGAACCUGCCUUGUCCCAAAGGACACACUUCAAUCUGGGGAGAGUUUAAAGUUGUAGACAUAUCCAUUUUCAUUUAAGGAAUAUGAAGAUCAGGGAGGCAAAAUAUAGAGAUAUAGAGAGGAAAAACUGAGAGAUGAUCAGAAAUUCAGACGCAUUCGGAAUGAGCACCCUUGACCAUACCAAGAACAAAGACUCUAUAAAAAUGUGAAGUCUUAUUAUUGUUCAUCCAUGUUCUACGUGGGAUCCACCCAAGACAUUGAAAACUGUACAGAACAGGGUGAAAUUGAAUCAGAUCAUUCUGUACUCCUAACAAGGUCCACCCCAUGAGAGACUUGCAGCAGAAUUAAUGACACUGUAUAUUUUCCUCUACUAACAACAACAAGAACAACAACAACAACAAUCUAGGAAAAUCAAAGGCAGCCCGACAUGGAAAAAAACACAAAAUGAAUAUUUGGAUUACAAAUAGUGUGAUGGGAAGAACACACUGCCAAAAGUCCACCUAGUAUGUUGAAAUUACUGUUUCUAGCACAUAUAAGAUUUGCUGCCAAUUUGUACUGACUUCUGAAAAAUACUUUAUCCAUUGUCUUCUUACAUCAGAAUCAACUCCCUAAAUUCUUCAGCACUGGCUUUGUAAACUGGUUUCUGGUCUUUGUUUCUGUCAACUUACCUAUAAAAGGAUACAAAAACUGAAGAACAGAGAGGAGCAGAUACCCUGGAAAGCCGAAAGUUUUAUUGACCAAAGACUGAGUCUCGGAAUGUUUUGAUUGUGGAGUUUAUAGAGUUCAGGCUGAAGUUUUAUAAAAAUAACUUGCAGCAGCAUGGAGGACUGAUGAGAAAGUAGACAGAUGCUGGAAGCAGGAAAACUGAACAGCAGGUCACUGGCCAAGGAGAAUCAAAGAGCUAGAUGCUGAGAAUAAUGCAGCCAUAACGUGAAAUCUUUUUGAGGCUCCGUGGUGGUCUUAAAAUAUAUCCACAAAUUUUCUGACAUCCUCUCUUCAAGAAGUGGAGCUUAAUUCCCUUUCCUUUGAGUGCAGACCACUCACUCUGGGAGAAAGCAACUGGCUAUGUCAUGAGGAAAUUGAAACCACCUAUGGAGAAAGGCCCACAUGGUGAGAAAGUAAAGCCUCUUCCCAAUACCAAAAUUCUGUAAGUCUGCUACGGUGACAUUUCUGGUUAGGAGUCAGAGUGGAUGGGACACUGAGCAAUAAGAAUGCAGAGACAUGAUGGCUGAAGCUGGAGCUUUUCCCUGAAGCAACCACCUGUUGGAAACUUCAUGUUGAAGAUGACUGAAUAAUAAGACAGAGGGGUCUGGGUCCCUGGUGGAUAUUCCAGAUCUGGGUGUUCGUGGAGAUAUGAGAAAGCAAUAAACUUCAAUUUUGCUUAAAUAGCUGUUACUUGGGGCAUUCUGUCAUUUAUGGACA
rnacentral:lncRNA from 10 species